CAGUAGCCGCGGUAAUACAGAGGAUGCAAGCGUUAUCCGGGAUGAUUGGGCGUAAAGCGUCUAUAGGUGGCUUUUCAAGUCCGCCGUCAAAUCCCAGGGCUCAACCCUGGACAGGCGGUGGAAACCACCAAGCUGGAGUACGGUAGGGACAGAGGGAAAUUCCGGUGGAGCGGUGAAAUGCGUUGAGAUCGGAAAGAACACCAACGGCGAAAGCACUCUGCUGGGCCGACACUGACACUGAGAGACGAAAGCUAGGGGAGCAAAUGGGAUUAGAUACCCCGGUAGUCCCUGUCUCUUAUAC
rnacentral:rRNA from 1 species